rnacentral:rRNA from 1 species
AUGGGCGACCACCUCGGGCGCCUGCUCGACCGCGCCGACGGCUCGGACGUCUCCUUCUCGGUCGCCGGCGAGACGUUCCGCGCGCACCGGGCCGUCCUCGCCGCCCGCUCGCCGGUGUUCAGGGCGGAGCUCUUCGGGUCCAUGGCGGAGGCCGCGAUGCCAUGCAUCACCCUGCACGACAUCGAGCCGUCGACGUUCCGACUUCUGCUUCGGUUCGUGUACAUGGACCGGCUGCCGACGGACGAGGAGCUUCCAAGCUCUUCGGAGACGACCGAGCUGUUCCAGCGUGUGCUUGCGGCGGCCGACCGGUACGAUCUGGGCAGACUGAAGCUCCUCUGCGCCCAGAAGUUGUGGGAGAGCGUGUCGGUGGAGACGGUCGCUACUACUUUGGGUUACGCUGAAAUGCAUAGCUGCCCGGAGCUGAAGAAGAGGUGCCUCGACUUCUUCAUGGCGGACAAGAACUUCAAGAAGGUGGUGGUCACCGACGGCUACUUCUGGCUCAUCGGACGCUUCCCCUCCAUUAUUUAUGAUAUAAGAGCACGGGUUGAUGAGACUUGA